AGUGUCCUCAGAUGCCACAGACACAAGACACACACUCCUCCCUCGCUGUUCCCUUGACAAUGAGAGAAGCCCAGCAAUCACCUUAACAGCUCUAGAAGGGACAGCUUCAAGUCAUGCAUGGACCUGACCUCAGAAAGGCCAUCACAUUUGGACAUAGUGCUCUAUAUUUUCAAUCAGUACUAGGCCCUGCAAAUACUGCAACCAGUCUUGGUCCUAAGAAACAGAAAUGUCCCUUUUCCUCCUUUUGAAAGUGAAAAAAUGAAAUUGUUAGUGGCUCUAUCAUGUCCAACUCUUUGCAACCCCGAGGACUGUAGCCCACUAGGCUCCUCUGCCCACAGGACUCUCCAGGCUAAAGGCCGUGGGGUUCCCUGGCUGGUUUGGAACCGGUUCAGCAUCCUGGUGCCGACUGAGGACCUGAAGAGCAGGUGGAGCCUGACUCAGCACAGAAAGGCUCUUUCAGACGCUAAGUCCUUCCUGACUCUGUGUGACCGCAUGGACUACAGCCCACCAGGCUUCUCUGUCCUCCACGAUCUCCUGGCCCGUGCUCCAAUUCAAUUCCAUUGAGUCAGCGAUGCUGCUUAACCAUCUCAUCCUCUGCCGCCCCCUUCUCCUUUUGCCUUCAGUCUUGCUCCUACUCAACCUCCAGGUGGUGACCUAAAGGUCACUUUCCACAGGAAGCUUCUCUCCAUCACCUCUUAGCCUUUUCUAGGUGAAGUCGGCCAGCCACACCCACCCAUAUUGAUUUCUGUGCUUCCUCAAACGUCACUGUGAGUCUGAUUCACACAGCCCAUCCUUGAAUCUGGCAAUUGCUUUAUAGAAACAGGGACGGCUAACCAGCUCACUAUGUUAACCCCAGGCCAGGCAUUGUGGUGUUUGUGGAAUGAUGUGCCGGAUUAAUUCUUUAAUUAGUUUAGCAGGUAAUAAAAUCUUGUGAACAAAAAGCAUGUCUCCUCCAUAGAUGCUAAGUUCAGUUAGUCUCAGUUCAACAAAGCUGGACAAGCCCUCCAAGAGCAUGUUACAUAAACCCCCGAAUGGACCUUGUGUCAAAAUUCUGCUGCCAAAGUGAACAAGAGUCCUAUUUAGAAAAUUCUCUCUUAAGAAGGCUUAUUUCUAUCUGGGUGGGAUCCAAGUUUUGCUGAGGGCUUUAAAUAAUUGGGGAAAGACAUUAUCUUUGGAAACUCUUAAAAAUCCAACCUCUGUCCCUUGAUUCUUGCCAAAUCUCUCCCACAGUUCCCAUUAAAUGGAUUACCCUGUC
ensembl:lncRNA